CAGCAGCCGCGGUAAUACGAAGGGUGCAAGCGUUACUCGGAAUUACUGGGCGUAAAGCGUGCGUAGGUAGUGGUUUAAGUCCGUUGUGAAAGCCCUGGGCUCAACCUGGGAAUUGCAGUGGAUACUGGGUCACUAGAGUGUGGUAGAGGAUAGUGGAAUUUCCGGUGUAGCAGUGAAAUGCGUAGAGAUCGGAAGGAACAUCUGUGGCGAAGGCGACUAUCUGGGCCAACACUGACACUGAGGCACGAAAGCGUGGGGAGCAAACGGGAUUAGAUACCCCCGUAGUCCCUGUCUCUUAUAC
rnacentral:rRNA from 1 species